GAUGAACGCUGGCGGCGUGCUUAACACAUGCAAGUCGAACGACGCCCUUUUUUUGAUUUCCUUCGGGGCUUAUCAUUUUGUGACUGGGUGGGGGACGGGUGAGUAUCGAGUGGUUAGCCUGCCUUGUACAGGGGGAUAACAGUUGGAUACGGCUGCUAAUAUAGCAUUAGCGCACGGCAUCGUUUGAUGCAGUGUGAAAUACUCCGGUGGUAUAGGAUGGACCCGCUUUGGAUUAGCUAGUUGGGGAGGUAACGGCCCACCAAGGUGACGAUCCAUAGCCGACCUGAGAGGGUGACCGGCCACAUUUGGACUGAGACGCGGCCCAAACUCCUACGGGAGGCAGCAGUGGGGAAUAUUGCACAAUGGGCGAAAGGCUGAUGCAGCGACGCCUCGUGAGCGAAGAAGUAUUUCGGUAUAUAAAGCUCUAUCAGCAGGGAAGAUAAUGACGGUACCUGACGAAGAAGCACCGGCUAAAUACGUG
rnacentral:rRNA from 1 species